CUGUCCCUUUUGGACCAGUGCAGCAGUGGCUAGUUUCAUGGCUGACCAGACCUCAGGGUCUUCGAUUCAAUUGGCCAAUUUAAAUUAGCAUUAGCAGACUGAAGUCUGGAAAUUAGUUAAUGUUUAUAUUCCCAUAAUACACCUGGGAAAGCACGUAAAGUUGAUUGUUCUUUUUCUUUCCAGUCACGUUGGAUUUGUUUUCCGGUCUUAUUAUGAGAGUGAGGGAAUAGAAAUUCCACUUGUGUUUGCGUACAAACUUGUGCACUAUAAUAUGUCCCGUGCAGCUCACUAGGCUCUCUUUAAAAUGACUUCGUGGAAAGAUUUUCUGCAAAACAAGCUUCCUACGCGAAGUCAAUACGAAGACAAGUCUGAUUACUGGAGUUAUUUAGUAUUUCUUAUGUACCUUGUUGUUCAUAUGUUUAUACAUAUGAUAAAGAAACCUUCAAGAAAAAAGCCUACUCCUUCCUGAAAGGCCAGCAACACACCUGCAAGCCCUCCGGUGUUCCAGAUGUCAACGGGCGAUGGUACUCACUUUCCAUCAGAUGAGCCUACUGUCCGUUAUAAUAAAAAUAAAAUACUAAUAAAAUACCUAUGAUAUACAUAUGUAUGUUAUGUCUACAUCAAGAAGACGCAACUGUAAAAAAUCAAUAAACUAUCUUCAUUUUGAAGGUUGGUUAUAUAAUACUUUUGUGGACGAUGAGAAACCAAAAGUAUAGGUAGCAUUAAUUUAAUACUAAUUUUAAACCACGAUUACGAAGAUAUUUUUAAACAUGUAUGAAAUGUAAAAGCUGGAUCUUGUUAUUAUAAUCGGUGGCGAACUCAAGUGGUAAAUUUGAGCACCAAGGACAUAAGAAUUUGAACUCCAUGAUGUCAUCCACUUUAUUCAAUCAUAGCGUAUUCUUCAU